ensembl:ncRNA Y49F6B.16 ncRNA
UUCUAGCGCAAUUUUGAAAUUUUCGGGUUACGGUAGCGCCGAGAGUACGCAAACACC